rnacentral:rRNA from 1 species
GACGAACGCUGGCGGCGUGCUUAACACAUGCAAGUCGAACGGAAAGGCCUGCUUUCCCUUGUGGAUUGCGGGUACUCGAGUGGCGAACGGGUGAGUAACACGUGAGUGAUCUGCCCCCAACUUGGGUAUAAGCCUGGGAAACUGGGUCUAAUUCCCGAUAGGACUGCAGGGUGGUGCCUGUGGUGGAAAACGAUUUUCUAGUGGUUGGGGAUGAGCUCGCGGCCUAUCAGCUUGUUGGUGGGGUAAUGGCCUACCAAGGCGGCGACGGGUAGCCGGCCUGGGAGGGUGGACGGCCACAUUGGGACUGAGAUACGGCCCAGACUCCUACGGGAGGCAGCAGUGGGGAAUAUUGCACAAUGGGCGGAAGCCUGAUGCAGCGACGCCGCGUGGGGGAUGACGGCCUUCGGGUUGUAAACUCCUUUCGACCGCAAGGAAGCCACCUGGUUGGAAGGGUGGUGACGGUAGUGGUAGAAGAAGCACCGGCUAACUACGUG